rnacentral:lncRNA from 1 species
AAAGGGAUGUAAGCACGGGGCCACGACUCCGAUAACCGGUUUCCCUGCACCGUGCAACGAGCCCGCCGCGCCCUAGGGGAACUCCGAACCUCAACAGAAGAAAAGUUUCGCCCGCUCCGGUGCAGCGAACUGCCUUGGGAGCACCCGAAGGGGCCGGAAAAUACCUGUACGACACUGCCAAGAGCAAAGCCGGGCUUCUAGAAAAACCGGAGAGAAGGCGGAGCUUCGGAGCAAGACCCAACGGCGCCGAUCUAACACCCCCGGCUCCAGGUUCUUGCCGAACCUGGAAGUGCUCCUUUUACUUCCGUGGGGAAGAGGCGGUGACAAAGAGACAGGCUGAAGGUAGACGAAAAUGAACACAAUGGAGGUUCUAGAAAUGUUACCAAGAAGAAAUCAUUUAUUUUGAAUGGAUGAAAAUAAGGAGGUAACAACUUAUCAGAUUGUACUAUGAUUAUUUUUACAAAUGAUGCUCACUUUUAGUAACUGCUAGAUUUUCUUCUACUGCUGUUUCUCCCUAGAGCAGAAGCAUCACAAAGACUAUAUUUUCUCCACUCCUGUGCUAUUCUCUUGGGCUUCAAAUGAAACUAUAGAUCCUGAAGUGGAUUCCAGGACAGUGUUUCAGGCAACUUAGGGACAGUGUAAAAUAUACUGAAGUCAUAGUGGAAAAGCUGAAGCUACUGUGCCAAGAUAUAGGAGUUUCCAGUGGUUAGUGUUGACUAUUGAAUGCAGUGACAUCUAUCAUUUUCUCCUUUGUAAGGUAUCAUAAACCAUUUUAUGUUUUUUUGAAUAGUUUAUUAUUAUUAUUAUUAUUAUUAUUAUUAUUAUUAUUCACAUAUGACACUCUAUUACUUUCAGGUAUACAAAAUUGAUUUGAUACUUCUAUACAUUGGGAAAUAAUCACCACCAUAAGUCUAGUUGUCUGUCACCAUACAAAUUUACAAAUUUGUUUUUCUUAUGAUGAGAACUUUUAAGAUUUACUCUUAGCAACUUUCAAGUAUACAAUACCAGUGUAUUGACUAUAG